ACCAGGUCUUGACAUCCCCCGCGAUGCUUUAGAGAUAAAGCGGAGGUAUUCGGGAGACAGUGGUGCAUGGUUGUCGUCAGCUCGUGUCGUGAGAUGUUGGGUUAAGUCCCGCAACGAGCGCGACCCCUAUUGCUAGUUACCAUCAUUAAGUUGGGGACUCUAGCGAGACUGCCAGUGAUAAACUGGAGGAAGGUGGGGAUGACGUCAAAUCAUCAUGCCCCUUAGGACCUGGGCUACAAACGUGAUACAAUGGCUGGAACAAAGGGAUGCGAAGCAGUGAUAGUGGAGCGAAACCCAUAAAAACAGUCUCAGUUCGGAUUGAAGUCUGCAACUCGACUUCAUGAAGUCGGAAUCGCUAGUAAUCGCGGAUCAGAACGCCGCGGUGAAUACGUUCUCGGGUUU
rnacentral:rRNA from 1 species